UUCCAGAUGACGAGCCCCAAAUAGGACGAAAUGUGCAUCCUGGAU
rnacentral:hammerhead_ribozyme from 1 species